rnacentral:rRNA from 1 species
GAAACCAACAGGGAUUGCCUCAGUAACGGCGAGUGAAGCGGCAAAAGCUCAAAUUUGAAACCCUCGGGAUUGUAAUUUGAAGAUUUGGCAUUGGAGAAAGCUAACCCAAGUUGCUUGGAAUAGUACGUCAUAGAGGGUGACAACCCCGUCUGGCUAACCGUUCUCCAUGUAUUGCCUUAUCAAAGAGUCGAGUUGUUUGGGAAUGCAGCUCAAAGUGGGUGGUAAACUCCAUCUAAAGCUAAAUACUGGUGAGAGACCGAUAGCGAACAAGUACUGUGAAGGAAAGGUGAAAAGAACUUUGAAAAGAGAGUGAAAUAGUAUGUGAAAUUGUUGAUAGGGAAGGAAAUGAGUGGAGAGUGGCCGAGGUUUCAGCCGCCCCUCGUGGGCGGUGUACUGCCGACGCCGAGUCAUCGAUAGCGAGACGAGGGUUACAAAUGGGAGCGCCUUCGGGCGUUCUCCCCUAACCCUCCACACUGCCNCCGAC